GUCUCAGUUCGGAUUGGAGUCUGCAACUCGACUCCAUGAAGCUGGAUUCGCUAGUAAUCGCGCAUCAGCCAUGGCGCGGUGAAUACGUUCCCGGGCCUUGUACACACCGCCCGUCAAGCCAUGGAAGCCGGGGGUGCCUGAAGUGCGUGACCGCAAGGAGCGCCCUAAGGUAAAACCGGUGACUGGGGCUAAGUCGUAACAAGGUACC
rnacentral:rRNA from 1 species